AAGACCUUGCGCUUUUGGAGCGGCCGAUGCCUGAUUAGCUUGUUGGUAAGGUAAAAGCUUACCAAGGCUUCGAUCAGUAGCUGGUCUGAGAGGACGACCAGCCACACUGGGACUGAGACACGGCCCAGACUCCUACGGGAGGCAGCAGUGGGGAAUUUUGGACAAUGGGGGCAACCCUGAUCCAGCCAUGCCGCGUGAGUGAAGAAGGCCUUCGGGUUGUAAAGCUCUUUCAGCCGGAACGAAACGGUUACGGUUAACACCCGUGACUACUGACGGCACCGGAAGAAGAAGCACCGGCUAACUACGUGCCAGCAGCCGCGGUAAUACGUAGGGUGCGAGCGUUAAUCGGAAUUACUGGGCGUAAAGCGUGCGCAGGUGGUUUUGUAAGUCAGAUGUGAAAGCCCCGGGCUCAACCUGGGAACU
rnacentral:rRNA from 1 species